rnacentral:rRNA from 1 species
GAUGAACGCUGGCGGCGUGCUUAACACAUGCAAGUCGAACGGAAAGGCUCCUGCUUGCAGGGGUACUCGAGUGGCGAACGGGUGAGUAACACGUGGGUGAUCUGCCCUGCACUUCGGGAUAAGCCUGGGAAACUGGGUCUAAUACCGGAUAGGACGAUGGGUUGGAUGCCAUUGUGGAAAGUUUUUUCGGUGUGGGAUGAGCUCGGGGGCUAUCAGCUUCUCGGUGGGGUAAUGGCCUAACAAGGCGGCGACGGGUAGGCGGCCUGAGAGGGUGUACGGGCACAUUGGGACUGAGGGACGGCCCAGACUGGUACGGGAGGCAGCAGGGGGGAAUAUUGCACAAUGGGGGCGAGCCUGAUGCAGCGGCGCCGCGUGGGGGAUGACGGCCUUCGGGUUGUAAACUCCUUUCGCUAGGGACGAAGCGCAAGUGACGGUACCUGGAGAAGAAGCACCGGCUAACUACGUG